GCAUAUCAAUAAGCGGAGGAAAAGAAACCAACAGGGAUUGCCCCAGUAACGGCGAGUGAAGCGGCAACAGCUCAAAUUUGAAAUCUGGCCCCUAGGGCCCGAGUUGUAAUUUGCAGAGGAUGCUUUUGGCGAGGUGCCUUCCGAGUUCCCUGGAAUGGGACGCCAUAGAGGGUGAGAGCCCCGUCUGGUUGGAUGCCGAGCCUUUGUAAAGCUCCUUCGACGAGUCGAGUAGUUUGGGAAUGCUGCUCUAAAUGGGAGGUAUAUGUCUUCUAAAGCUAAAUACCGGCCAGAGACCGAUAGCGCACAAGUAGAGUGAUCGAAAGAUGAAAAGCACUUUGAAAAGAGGGUUAAAUAGUACGUGAAAUUGUUGAAAGGGAAGCGCUUAUGACCAGACUUGGACCCGGUGAAUCAUCCAGCGUUCUCGCUGGUGCACUUUGCCGGGCUCAGGCCAGCAUCAGUUUGCCUUGGGGGAUAAAGGCUUUGGGAACGUGGCUCCCUCGGGAGUGUUAUAGCCCAUUGCACAAUACCCUGGGGCGGACUGAGGUUCGCGCAUCUGCAAGGAUGCUGGCGUAAUGGUCAUCAGCGACCCGUCUUGAAACACGGACCAAGGAGUCGUCUUCGUAUGCGAGUGUUCGGGUGUAAAACCCCUACGCGUAAUGAAAGUGAACGCAGGUGAGAGCUUCGGCGCAUCAUCGACCGAUCCUGAUGUUCUCGGAUGGAUUUGAGUAAGAGCAUACGGGGCCGGACCCGAAAGAAGGUGAACUAUGCCUGUAUAGGGUGAAGCCAGAGGAAACUCUGGUGGAGGCUCGCAGCGGUUCUGACGUGCAAAUCGAUCGUCAAAUAUGGGCAUGGGGGCGAAAGACUAAUCGAACCUUCUAGUAGC
rnacentral:rRNA from 1 species